UACGGGGGGGGCAAGCGUUGUUCGGAAUUACUGGGCGUAAAGGGCUCGUAGGCGGCCAACUAAGUCAGACGUGAAAUCCCUCGGCUUAACCGGGGAACUGCGUCUGAUACUGGAUGGCUUGAAUCCGGGAGAGGGAUGCGGAAUUCCAGGUGUAGCGGUGAAAUGCGUAGAUAUCAGGAGGAACACCGAUGGCGAAGGCAGGUCUCUGGGCAUUAACUGACGCUGAGGAGCGAAAGCAUGGGGAGCGAACAGG
rnacentral:rRNA from 1 species